rnacentral:lncRNA from 1 species
GGGAAGCUUUGAAAAUAGAUACUUCUUAAAUUUUUGUUUCAAGGAAUUGGCAGAGAGAGAGAGGAAGGAGGUGGAGGAGGAGGAGGAGGAGGAGGAGGAGGAAGAAGAAGAAGAAGAAGAAGAAGAAGAAGAAGAAAUGAUUCUGUCUCCCUAAAUAUUGGAGAUAAGCUCCAGGCCUCUUACAUAUAGGUAGGUAAGCACCCUCCACUGAGCCAUCCUCCCAUCUUCCCUUCUGAGACCCUAUAGUAUUAUCAACGCAGAGAAUGGCAUUCUAAAACACAAAGAAUAAUCUAUAGCAUUGAAUGUCCUUAUAUAUUCAGCUCCUACUUAUUGAAGCUUCUGCCUGUGGGCUGCACUGGGGAUCAAACACAGGGUAUGGACCACGCUAAAUGAUUACUUUACUACUGAGCUCCACUCAAGCUCCUAUAUGGUGAAACUAUAACUUUUUCAUAUAAAAUUGAGUCUUAAGCUGGAUAGGGGGAAACACCUAUAGUCCCAGCAUUUGGGAGGUGGGGGAAAGAGGUUUAGAAAUUCAAGGUCAUGCUAGGUUAUAUAGUCAGCUCAAUAAAAGGAAAAAACUAAAAUGUCUCUACAAAAAAAAAUGUAGAAAUGGCUUAGUGAUUAAUCCUUGCACCAGGUGUUAAUCCUAGCACUCAGGAGGCAGAGGCAGACAGAUCUCUGUGAGUUCAAGGCCAGCCUGGUCUACAAAGCAGGACAGCCAAGGCUACACAGAAACCCUCUGUUGAAAGAAAGAGCACAGAAUACUCUUGUUAAAUUCAGUUCCCAGCACUCGUAUGGUGCUGCUUACAACUUCUUGUAUCUCCAGAUCCAGUGCCCUCUUCUGGAAACUACACACACACACACACACACACACACACUCAACACACACAUGCACACACACUCACACAUACACUCAUACUCACACUUAACACACCACACACAAUCACACUCAACACACACAUACACACACACAAACACACACAAGGACUCACACUCAAUGCACAUACACAAUAUUUAAAAUAAAUCUCCAGGCAUGGUGGUACACAGCUUCAGUCCUAGCACUCAGGAGGCAGAGGCAGACAGGUCUGUAGGGUACACAGUGAAAUCCUGUCUCAAAAAAGUCUUUAAAAAUAAGACUGUUAAUUAUUU